CGGAUGUAGCCAAGUGGAUCAAGGCAGU
rnacentral:tRNA from 331 species